rnacentral:rRNA from 1 species
UACGAAGGGGGCUAGCGUUGCUCGGAAUCACUGGGCGUAAAGCGCACGUAGGCGGCUUUCUAAGUCGGGGGUGGAAUCCUGGAGCUCAACUCCAGAACUGCCUUCGAUACUGGAAAGCUCGAGUCCGGGAGAGGUGAGUGGAACUGCGAGUGUAGAGGUGAAAUUCGUAGAUAUUCGCAAGAACACCAGUGGCGAAGGCGGCUCACUGGCCCGGUACUGACGCUGAGGUGCGAAAGCGUGGGGAGCAAACAGG